rnacentral:rRNA from 1 species
CGGGACGGGUGAGUAAUGUCUGGGAAACUGCCCGAUGGAGGGGGAUAACUACUGGAAACGGUAGCUAAUACCGCAUAAUGUCUGCGGACCAAAGCGGGGGACCUCCGGGCCUCGCGCCAUCAGAUGAACCCAUAUGGGAUUAGCUUGUAGGUAAGGUAACGGCUUACCUAGGCGACGAUCCCUAGCUGGUCUGAGAGGAUGAUCAGCCACACUGGGACUGAGACACGGCCCAG